UCGGACGUGUUUAGCAAGUGGAGUAUGUGCUUAUCCCAUGGAAAUAAUGAAAUACUCGUACACAGUUUGGGCUCCACUAGCAUUACUUCUUGCGGCUUCUGAAUUUAAAAGGUUAAAAAAAAUUUUGAUGACCUGAAAUGGACUGUGAGCUCAGAGUUAAAUCAGCCAUACUUACAUGCCAAAUCUCCAGGCAACAUGAUCAUCUGUGAUCCAGCUGGAAAAGAAAAACAUGCUUUAAAUAGGAAAGUAAAACAUAGAGCAGCUGAGACCAUUACAAGCACAGAAUCAAUAUCGAGUGCAUAAAACAAGAGAAGUUCAAUUAACAAGGAACAGAAAUCUGUUACUAACACCAGUUGACGCAAUAACAAAUGUAAACAAAAACAAAGGUACUCUGAGAUCUUGCUUGAUGGCAAUAACAUGAUAAACUCAGCUAAUAUUAUGGUUGUAUUGCAAGAGUAAUAAUGCAUUAAUAAAAUGGAAGUCCAUGUGCCCAA